GACUAACGCUGGCGGCGUGCUUAACACAUGCAAGUCGAACGCUGAAGCUCAGCUUUUGUUGGGUGGAUGAGUGGCGAACGGGUGAGUAACACGUGAGUAACCUGCCUCCUUCUUUGGGAUAACGCCCGGAAACGGGUGCUAAUACUGGAUAUUCACUGGUCUUCGCAUGGGGGUUGGUGGAAAGGGUUUUUCUGGUGGGGGAUGGGCUCGCGGCCUAUCAGCUUGUUGGUGGGGUGAUGGCCUACCAAGGCUUUGACGGGUAGCCGGCCUGAGAGGGUGACCGGUCACAUUGGGACUGAGAUACGGCCCAGACUCCUACGGGAGGCAGCAGUGGGGAAUAUUGCACAAUGGGCGCAAGCCUGAUGCAGCGACGCCGCGUGAGGGAUGGAGGCCUUCGGGUUGUGAACCUCUUUCGCUCAUGGUCAAGCCGCAACAAUGGUUGUGGUGAGGGUAGUGGGUAAAGAAGCGCCGGCUAACUACGUG
rnacentral:rRNA from 1 species